rnacentral:rRNA from 1 species
AGAGCGAACGCUGGCGGCAGGCUUAACACAUGCAAGUCGAGCGGGCGUAGCAAUACGUCAGCGGCAGACGGGUGAGUAACGCGUGGGAACGUACCUUUUGGUUCGGAACAACCCAGGGAAACUUGGGCUAAUACCGGAUAAGCCCUUACGGGGAAAGAUUUAUCGCCGAAAGAUCGGCCCGCGUCUGAUUAGCUAGUUGGUGAGGUAAUGGCUCACCAAGGCGACGAUCAGUAGCUGGUCUGAGAGGAUGAUCAGCCACAUUGGGACUGAGACACGGCCCAAACUCCUACGGGAGGCAGCAGUGGGGAAUAUUGGACAAUGGGCGCAAGCCUGAUCCAGCCAUGCCGCGUGAGUGAUGAAGGCCCUAGGGUUGUAAAGCUCUUUUGUGCGGGAAGAUAAUGACGGUACCGCAAGAUAAGCCCCGGCUAACUUCGUGCCAGCAGCCGC